GAAUCUCUGGAAAGCAAGCUGAAUUUUCAGCUUCACCGAAGGGGUAAGCACAAAAAGCUAUGUGGGCUUUUUAUGUCAAAUCUCUCAGGUCCUAAGACAGAGGGGG
rnacentral:ncRNA from 1 species